UUGCUUCAGCAGCACAUAUCCUAAAAGUGGAAUGAUACAGAGUUAGCAUGGCUCCUGCUCAAGGAUGACGUGCAAUUUUGGGAAACAGUCCAUAUUUUU
ensembl:snRNA U6 U6 spliceosomal RNA